CCGGAUCCUUUUUAAACUCUCGGAGGGAAAUGAUAAACAGCCAUCCACAGCUGUCAGGACUAUCUUUUAGCAAGCGACACGGCUGCUGGGGAUUUUUUUGAGGAGGAAGACGACCAGGAGAUGUUGAUGGUGGCCUCACAGGCUGAGGAACAACUUCCUCAAGAGAAAUGGCACUUAUCAGGCGUCAAGCUACAUUUACUCUUUGAGUGCACUUUAUCAAAGCAAAAAGUGAACUUAAAGGUGUAUGUAAACUGUGUUUCUUUCAUUUUUGUCGUAAUCACUGACCGAAGCUCAUUCCUCAUCUCACACCUCCCCUAAGUGCGGUUGCAGAAUGUUGUAGUUUAGAGGUGCUCACAGUAUGUGUCAGAGCUGCUUUGCUUCAUACUUGGCUGAUCCCAUCCCACUUUUCUUUUUGUAUUUGACCUAAUGGUGCUUGGGUGACAAACAGGAUGAUUUUCACAGCUUCCUUCCAUAACUCCAGUGUUUCAUCAUCAUGUCGCCUUGCUACUAAUCAUACAUGCUUUCUACUAAUUGUUGUAGUCGUAGUGGCUGUCCAGCAGCGCUGAGAAAGACAUGCAGUGAAAAUCUUUACAUAACAACAAUAAACUAAUUGUUUUGUCUCUUCUUGCGCAGCCACUGCUGCCUCAAGAGGGCCUGCUCGCGCCCCUGUUCCUGCCCUGGCCCCGGCCCCUGCUCCUCCAGCUGUGUGGGCUCCUGGCCCGGUGGUCCAUCCCCGUUCUUUAUAGUGAACCCUGUGCCGGUGGUCAUGGGAGCAAGUGCAGGUAGCCCCUCUGCAGCUCCUGUCCUGGCUCCAACUCCAGUGUUUCCUGCUGCACCAGUAGCUCCUGCUCCCACUGCCUCUGUGUCUGUGUCCCGCUUCACACAGAGGAACAGGCAACGCAGGGCAGAAGAGGAGGCCAGUGGAGCCCACAAAAGAAAGUAUGUGCGUAAAGUGGCAUUCAACAAGUGCACCAAGUGUGCUUCAGGAGUGCCACUUUUUGCCCCAGUCUCUCAGGUGGCAAAUCUUUAGAGGAGGGGCUGGCAGAACAGCACCAGCAGAAGAAACCAGGAAACCCACCCCCCUAAUCUGGAGGUGGACACACACUUGUAAAUACUGUAUAUUAGACUGUGUAAAUAUGUAAAUACAUCUUUGUACUUACCUCAGCUGCAACAGUAACUAAUCAAUGUCCGAAUGUACACUCACAGAAAUGAUUCAGGGCAGAAUUAAUUUUUAUGCAUUUACAUCUAUUUGAUUUUAUUUAUAAACUCGCAUUUUUAAAAUAUAUGCAUUAAAAUUAAUUAUAAUCUGCAUAAUUUAAUCAAUUCUAAAAUGUAUUAAAUAUAAUUGGUUAAUACAUACUAAAAUGGUUUAAAUAACCAAAGCUAUAAAAAAAAACAGGAUUCUGUUAUUUAAAAUUUAUGUGAUUGGUUGUCAUAAAAGUUAUGUGAAGUGAAAUGGGGAAACCGGAAACGAUGUCCUGCACUUCCUCUGGAUGCCAACACUCAGGCACGUGUGGGUAUAAGCAGUCGUCCAUGUGAUGGUAAGAAAUCUGAGACAUCCGGUGUCUAAUUAGUAAUUACUCCCAAAUGUGUCCUAAUCGUGCAAUUUAUAUAACAUCACAUCAAUAUAAAUUUAUGUGUGAUAAAAUUUACGUAGUUCGUGAUUAUUUUAAGCAGCUUUAUCUUGGUCACGUCGCGUGUACCCGCUAGCAUCAUAGCUAACAAGCUAGCUAUUUCAUAGCUAGCUUGGAAAUACAGCUUGAUACCGGACUAAACUAGCCCUUUGCAGUCGGUUUUUGUGCCUGUUAAAAUGACUACUCUUUUCAUCGGUAGUUUAGCUAGCUAGAUAGCAUUCCCUUCAGUGUUUCCCCUGGGUUGAAAUGGCGGCGGGGGGGGGCGGGUUGUUUGUCCGUCCCGGGCAGACGAGCGGGGAGGAGCGGCAGGUGUUAGCCGACCAGCUAGCGGGGGAUAGCUCGCCAGCCGGGGAGUCUGAGCUGUCUGUGACCGGGGACAGCAGAGUUAAAAAUGACAGCUCCGGUGGCUUGGUGCUUUCCGUUUUUGUUUUUUGCCGCGGACCAGUGAGGCGGCAAUGUCGGCAAAAUUGUAGUGAGGCGGUGGCCUAUACUUGCGAGGCGGCCCGCCUCGUCGGUCAUAUAGGAGGGGAAACACUGCCCUUUGUCCACAACAUUUAGCCUGUUCAUUUUGUAACAAGUUAGGCUGUCUGAAGAAUUGUUUUAUAUCAAUUUGCUUAAAGGAUAACUUGAGAACUCCAUGGGGUUGUUUUGGUACGUGAAAACUCGAUACCUUUCGGUGAAAUUCUGCGUUUUGAAUGCAUAAAAAUGACAUUUCUGUGAUUCUACAGAAAUAGUUUAAUCUACAAUUAAACUUUUUUGGGGGCAGAGGGAAAGUUGCUUCACGAGCUCAGUCAUGAAUACAAAUCACUAUCUUGCAGUGUUUGGUCGACGUGGGCCUCUUCUCCCGCCUUUUUUGUCUUAAUGCACGCCUCCCUGCUCGUUAAACAUCGCUGGUCAUGCUGCCUUUUGUGGUGGCUAUGACAUAAUUUUUCCGGCUCACUCUACGUUAUACAGAGUGUGCUGCUUGUCUGUUUAUGUGGGUAAACAUGGAAGCAUUUUUGGGUGAAAGCUUUUCUUCUCACCUAUAUAUAUAUUUUUUUUCAGAUACCUAGCUCUUGGGGUAUUUUUCUCAUUCUCCUCACAUCCUGUGUUCUCACCUCCAUGUGGCAACAUAGAUUUUGUGCUGUGUGAAUGCGGCCUUGCAAAUUGUGUGACAGUUCGUUAUCUACCAGGAGACCUUAUACCAGAAGGUGAGCUUGCUUGGCAAGUGAUAUUAGACCUGAAGGAAAUCGUGGAGUUAGUUGUGGCACCUGUUCACAGCAAAGAGACAAUCGCCUACCUUGAUGUCAAAGUGUCUGAGCACAGACAGAGACUACGUGAGCUUGUCCCAGAGUUGGAUCCAGACGUAUGGUGACCCUGAAGAGACACAUCGUCAUCAAAGAUUAGCAAAGCAGGAUGGCAGGACGAGUAACUUUCAGAGUCCUCUUUGGAGGUGAAGACGAUGCAAGAAAACUCACCAUUGAAUCUGGAAUACCAAACACUGUGGAGGAAUUUGCUCUUCAAAUAAAGACUUUCUUCCAAGUGACUGAGCCAUUCAGACUUCAGUACAGAGACAGAGAAAUGGAUGAUCAGUUCAUGAACCUCUUGUCAACUUCAGAACUUGAAGAUAAAGCUACUGUGAAAGUAGUGUACAUACCUUCUGAGACAACCAGCUCUAAUCCACUCUCAAGGGAUACCAGCCCUACAAUCCCAGGUACUCCUUCCAGUGUCAACUCCUCAUCACAUGAGCCAAAUGAUUCAGUCUCCUACAGCAGCAAUGAUACCAUCAUCUUGUCAUCGCCCGAGACCCGGUCCUGUUCUUGGCCCAAAGUCUUUGUUGUUCCUCGCUUCUCAUACUUUGCUGAGAUGAUGCUCCACACUGGAAAUGAUGAGUUCAGUGCACACGGAACUUUGCUGUCUCCGACCCCAAAAACACGUUCUGAUAUUCUUGAGGGCCUAGCUGAAGAAAUCAUGAAGUAUACAGCAUAUCCAAAGGAUGAGCAGUUAGAAGAAGUGGCCAAGGCUCUGAUACAGUCUCACCCAUGUCUCCUGGAGAAAGGCACUCGCAGUGGCUACUGUGGUUGGAAGCACUACUUGAAAAUAAAGAUGAUGAACUUCAGAUCAAAGCUUAGCCGAGCUGGACAUCGUGAGGUUGCAGUCAACUCUCUGAAGAAUAAACGGAAAGGCCAGGAGAAGCCAGCAGCCAACAUCAAGAAGCCCAGGAAGGCAGAAGUUAAUUUCUGUCCAAACAUUCCCAGAGGUGAAACAAGAGAGAGAAUGGAGGCAGAUAGGGUAGCUCUACUGUCAGAGGUAAAAAAGAAGAAAAAGGAUGAGGCUGCGAUCAGGAAGAUGAUGCAGUAUACCUUCUCGAUCAGGAGACAGGAGGUUCUCCAGGAGCCAGCCAUUCCAGACUUCCAAAACAGAUGGCCAGCACUCUUUGAUGUCAGUGAGAUCAACUUGGAGUUUAUGCGACUGACAACUGUACCUCUGACCUCCAAAUUCCUGGGAGAACUGGAUCGUCAGACCGACAACCUGAUCAAGGUUUUUAAUGCCAAAGGUGGAGCUACAGGAAGAAAGAUCACCACCAUAAUGGCCCAGAUGGAUAAUAACAAACACCAACGUGAGGCGUGAUUGUGUGCUGAGCUGUCUGAGCAUCUACCUCAAUGAAGACCUGGGCACGCUGGUUAAAGAAUAUGUGGACAUUGAAUCCAGAGAGGCUGAGGCAGACAUUGCAGAGAAAACCAUGGGCAUCUACACAGUCCGAGCAGAGGGUCAUGGUUCUGAUGAUUCUGAUGGUCCAGGUGAUGGACGCUUUGCUGAUGUCGGUGUUGUGCUGGAAGGCGUGGAAGUCCUCCAUAACCUGCAGAGUAUCAGCCAUGCAUGCGUGAUGCUUUAUGGACUGAUCUACGCACUCAACUUGAGCUAUCCAAAAAGCCUGAAGCGUACAUUCGAGGUGUACCAAAAAUCCUGAUGGACCUGGACUCAACCAAGCUUUCACCAAAAGUACAGGCACUGAAACUCAAAUUGCUUCAGUGAUUUGGCUGGCAAUAAUGCACUUACAGAGCUCAUUCCUCAUUUUUCUUUUGCUUUUUUCCCCUGGUUAGACAGGAUCUUGUGUUUAAAUAAUCCCUUAGUUCUUGAAGGGUACUUCAAGGAAAUACCUGUUUGUUAAAUGCGUAUCUGUAAAAGAUUUUUUUUUAGUUUUGGUGUCCAAAUAUGCCUCAGCUCAAACAGUAUUUUUCUUUCUCCAGAUUUCAUGGGAGCUAGUUAAGUGUUUCAAAAUUUUUUAAAUGUUUAAAAGAUUUAUUUUAUUUUGAAAAGGUGCUUCAGUUCCUGCCAAAGCCUUUCAUCACUCAAGUUGUUACAUUGAAGUUAAACUAUGGCCAAAAUGCAACUUAGGGCCUUGUUGUGAACGUACACAAGUCAAACUUUUAAAUACAUAAUUAAAACAGAAACGUCACUUUAAGAUGUAGCGUAAUUUAAUUUCAAAGUGCCGUUUAAAACAAAAUUACGCUUUAUCUUAGUGACGUUUCCGUCAUGAGGUAUUUAAAUAAAAUUUGACUUCUUUAGUUCAGUUAUUGCACAAAAUUAUGCAAUUAAAACAUAUUGUACAUGCCAUUUUGCACUUUGCUCUGUUGAGCUGAAUUAUUUGACAGAUUUGUUACACUGCCGUUUUUGCAUUUUACUCUGUUGAGCUGAAUGUUGACAGAUUUAGUGGACUUUCGUGUUUUGCCUCAUGUCAUGCUUUAUAUGCAGAUUCAUUUUUUUACAGUUGAAAAUUCUACAGAUUAGAUUGAUUAGAAAGAUGGA